ACUAAACCGUGUCAAACCACAAAU
rnacentral:snRNA from 1 species